GGGGUCGACUGGUUUUGACAGCGAGAUUAAUUGAACAGUAAGCACGUCGUGUAAUGACAUUGAAACACGUAAAAGGCUAGGUCAAACUUUAAACGGCGAGAAUAACUACGCUUUAGCUGCUUAAUCUGAAUUAUAGUAAGAUAAAGCCUCGUCCUACUAGGUAGGAAAGCUAAAUGUCUCUUGAAAGCCUUGGUUAACGGCGUUCUAAUUAGAGGCAUCGUAAAAGUUAACAUAGAAUAGUUAGCGCUUUGAUGACUAUUUGAAACUAAAAAAGAUAAGUUGUAAGUAGAGUGUUUUUUAUCAGCUUACAAUCGAAAACCAUGAAAAAACUAAACGUGUAGAAAGCUCUUUAAUUACUUGUUUGGACGAGAGUUCGAUUCUCUCCGACUCCACAA
rnacentral:tmRNA from 1 species